GAUGAACGCUGGCGGCGUGCUUAACACAUGCAAGUCGAACGGAAAGGCCCAAGCUUGCUUGGGUACUCGAGUGGCGAACGGGUGAGUAACACGUGGGUGAUCUGCCCUGCACUUCGGGAUAAGCCUGGGAAACUGGGUCUAAUACUGGAUAGGACCACUUCUUGGAUGUUGUGGUGGAAAGUUUUUUCGGUGUGGGAUGAGCUCGCGGCCUAUCAGCUUGUUGGUGGGGUAUUGGCCUACCAAGGCGUCGACGGGUAGCCGGCCUGAGAGGGUGUACGGCAACAGUGGGACUGAGAUACGGCCCAGACUCCGACGGGAGGCAGCAGUGGGGAAUAUGGCACAAUGGGCGCAAGCCUGAUGCAGCGACGCCGCGUGGGGGAUGACGGCCUUCGGGUUGUAAACUCAUUUCGCUAGGGACGAAGCGUUUUGUGACGGUACCUGGAGAAGAAGCACCGGCUAACUACGUG
rnacentral:rRNA from 1 species